rnacentral:rRNA from 1 species
CCUACGGGCGGCUGCAGUAAGGAAUAUUGGUCAAUGGACGCAAGUCUGAACCAGCCAUGCCGCGUGGAGGAUGAAGGUCCUCUGGAUUGUAAACUUCUUUUAUUUGGGAAGAAACUCCGGAUUUCCAUCGGGAUUGACGGUACCAGAUGAAUAAGCACCGGCUAACUCCGUGCCAGCAGCCGCGGUAAAACGGAGGGUGCAAGCGUCAUCCGGAUUCACUGGGUUGAAAGGGUGCAGGGAUGGGAGUGGAGAAAUCUCCGGGCUUAACCCGGAAACUGCCAUUGAUACUAUUUGUCUUGAAUACUCUGGAGGUGAGCGGAAUAUGUCAUGUAGCGGUGAAAUGCUUAGAUAUGACAUAGAACACCCAUUGCGAAGGCAGCUCACUACGGAAAUAUUGACGCUGAGGCACGAAAGCGUGGGGAUCAAACAGGAUUAGAUACCCGAGUAGUC